UUAAGGCCCAUUCACAUACAAUUUUUCUCGCUUUACGUGACUGUUCAUACCGAACUAACGAAGAGCAGAGAACAAAGGGUAUGUCGCAAUGAACGUUUUGCUUGUAAUAAAAAUUGCGUUGGUUUCUUGGCAAAGCAUAAAAAGAUAAGAGUUGCUCAACAUUUUGCUUGGCUUCGCGUCGAAAACUUUUUAUGUGGACGUUCCCAUAAAAAAGCGUACAUCGAAGCAAAAGUUCUAUGUAAAUUGGCCAUUAUUUUCCCUUUUUUUGUCGGAAACGCGUUCGGUAACAGCGGUUGGUAUUGUUGAAGAUCAGGGAACCUUUAUCAGCUUAAAAAGAUGUUUCUUCUUAGCCUUACAUUAAACUAACAAAAACCUAUGCUGUCUUCUAUCACAAAGGUACAAACGUGUUUAUUUUUUGUUUACAUAAUGCUAAAUUGAGAUAUAAUUUUAAAUAUUUUGUUGUUGUCGAGAUCGCCCUCUUAAUAUUUUACAGGCAAUUCAAACAAAAUAAUAUUUAAGAUGUUUCGUCAAGGUCAAGCAGCCGAUAAAUUCCUGCUAAAUGGUUCUGGGCUCUCAUUUAAAUAAAACAAAAUUAUGAAGGACGAUUGUUGUAAUUACAAAAACAAUAUAUCGAUGCGCAUACCUGCGUUCAUAUGCAAUUGUAUGCCAUACAAAUUUAUAAAAAUCUCUUAAUUUUUCGUAUUUAAAUUGUCAUGAUUGAAAUCAAUAAUGAGAAAUUGUAAUUGUAUACUUUUUAUCUAUACUUCAUGGAUUUUCCGCAUUAGUUUUGUUCCUAUUCAUUUUCUACUUCGAACCGGUUUGUAGUUCAAAUUUGGAAAUAAAAAUAGUAUUUUUUUUGUAACGGCUGACAAUUUUUAUAAUUAGCUAAAAAUGCAAGACAGAAACGCUUAUGAAUGCCACAGUUCUAAAAGUGAGCGGCAUACCGUUGUAUACACAGAUGAAAAUGUACCAGUUUAUAAAUUGACAAUUGUGAAGCUGCCUAAAAACGUAACUUUAUUAUUAUUAUAUUGUUGCAAUUCUGUGGCAUUUAUCGAAAUCAUUUCUUUCACAUUAAAAAUAAUUACCAAAUAUAUAAUCCUUAGCUUAAAUCGGUAAGGAUAAAGCAACAUUUUUCUAAAUUUGGUCAAAUUAUAAAUGUGGAGAUAUUGUAUGGUAAAACUCGAUCCAUUCCAGCGCAAUGCAUUAUACAUUAUCAAAAUGCGAAAGACGCAGGCGCGUGAGCAAAUCUAUUCUGUUUUUUUGCAAGAAUAUUGCGGUUAACCAUAAAUUUUCAGUGCUUUAAAACAGAAAUAUCACACAAUCAACCACCAACGUGUUAGAGUGCAACCAUGUCCAAGUUGGGAACAGCCGUAUUUAAUGGAACAUUUAUUUAAGUCCAACAACAAUGUGAAUUUACUUAUGCUGAACGAUUACUGUUUAGAAAUGAUUUUUCAACACCUUGACUUGCGCCAGCAACUACGUCUAUCGUUAUGCCAUCCACGAUUGGAAAAUAUCUUCACAUAUAUGAUUUGUCCACGAUUACAACGAAAUUGUUAUUUGGAAGUACUUUUACAAUUUUCAACAUGGGAGUUGCGUCAGUUUCUUAAAACUGCAGGUAUAUAUAUGGAGCGAUUUGUAAUUGCAAAAGAAUACCCUAGCUUUAGGUCUAGAAUGAGUAUAUGUGCCUUAUUGCAAGAAUGUGGUUUGCGUAUUAAUAGCCUACAUCUUAUCGCAUGGAUGCCCUGGCAAUAUAGUGCUUUCCUUGUUUCGUUACAACUAAGUGCUAUAAAUGAACUGGAAUUGUACAAUUGCAAUUUAACAGAUAUAGAUUUGCAAUGUUUGCUUAAAUUACGUAAUCUCAAAGUACUCGGUUUAGCCGGUAAUUAUCACAUACAGGGCACACAUUUGAAGUAUUUCCGAAAUUUGGAAAGAUUGAGUUUGUGCGGUUGUGAAGAAAUUACCAACGACGCACUUUCUCAGUGCUGUCGGCAUUUACAGUUAAGUUUCUUAGAUAUACGUUUGGGGAAUAGCAUUCUUACGGAAACAGUAGUAGAAUUGUGCAAAACUUUGGAUACAUUAAAAUUGACACGCUUCACUGAAACUAUUGCCAAAUUACCAAAAUUAAGGUCAUUGGAGGUACACCACACUAACUCAUUACAACCAGUUUUUAUAAUGCUCUUGUCGAAUAUCAUGCUGAUAAUUUACUUGAGUUAAAAUUGACUGGUGAAACAUACCUAAUGCUUCCGACUGUGGCUAGGAUUGUACGUUUGCACAAAUUACGUACCCUAUGGUUAGGAGAUCACAUAUACAACGGAUCAAAACAAGUUGUCCAACUUGUCACAAAGCUGAGUGAUUUGGAAGAGAUCAGCUUACAGUAUUCCCUACGAAUAAGAGAUCAACAUUUACUGCCGCUCAUAAUUAAAUGUACCAAAUUGAAACGUAUCAAUUUACGUAUGUGUCGUUAUAUCACAACUAAUUUUAUUUGGAGCACAUUAGAAAUACUAUCACAGCGUGUAACUGCUGCUCAGCCACUCAUUAUUUUAGUUUACGGUACAUGCAUUAAUGCUGAUAUUUUACGGUCUUCAGGCUAUCAUAAAAACCGCCAUUUAUUGAAAUUAUUGUUCCAUGGUGAUAAAUCGCUAAUGGGUCUUGUUAAUGAAGGCAGUCCGUUUGACAUUAACGAUUCUGAGUUGAAUCGCACUACCAUUGAUACAAUUGAUGUUAAAAUUAUGAAUGAUUCAUAUAGUGAAACCGAAAAUGAGGACGGAGAGAACAGUCGCUAUAACAACAACAACGACUCUGCAAGAUAUUAUGAUUUAGCAUGAAUAAAAUAAACACUUGGAUGCUUUUUUUUUAUUGGUAUUGAUUUUUUUUUAUACUUUUCAUCUCGUUUUUUUUCUGUCGAAAAUGAAUGAAUAUAUAUGUAUUAUUUUCUGGAAAUAAAAUUAUAUUUAUUAUUAUACUGAUGUAGGAUGUUCUUUUAUAUUUAGAUGCAUAUAAUUUCCAAGAACGAUAGUUGUCAAAGUAAAUACAUAUCCUCAGCGCUGUGUUGUAUUCGCAUUAACUCGUCCUUGAAGCCAAUGUUAUCCCUAAUGGUGGGUGCUACAUAUACAUACAUACAUAUAUGGUUCGCAGCUUUUCAGUUAACCAUGUGUAUGUUAAUCACAAUGUAACUUUGUUUUAAACGAGACGAUAAGGAACUUAGUAUUGGACAAAUAUGUCAAAUAGUAAGACCCCUGUACAUCAAAUGCCACAAAAUACGACGAGUUCACUAAUCCUGUGCUAUAUUCAAAUAUUUUAUUUCCAAAAUUUUAUUUAUGACAAUAAUAAUUUUUAACUAAAAAACUACUUUGUUUUGAAUGAAAUACUGAAAGU